AACUUUUUGCCAACCCCGCUACUCAGCCAGGUUUAAAACCAGGCUUGGGAAUAGGUAAUAAAAAAUUGCUGUGAUGGCCCACAAGCGACAAUAAAAAAAAAUAUCCAUUGAAAAAGGGCUUAUGACUCAAACAACACGUAACAAACAGCGAAUGAUUUUUCAUUUCUUUUUUCUCUUCCCAAACCCUUAGUUCUGCCACCGUACCUCACCGAUCGAAGUAGCCAUCGCCGGUUGGAGCAUCGGUAGUCGCCGACACAAGAGGGAAAAAAUGUGAAAAAAAGGGAACCCAUUUAUGUCCAACAUUUGAAAGCCCAAAAGUCAACCGGCUAUUUCCUUGGUUUUCCUUCCAUAAUCUCCGACGUUUAUUAACACACAUUCGAGAAGUCGUUGAAGUUUCAAUUCUCNGUUUGUGGAUUUCUUGAAUUGAUAAAUAUUUUCUAUUUUUUAUUCCCAUCGUAAAAUACGCAGAAGGAACUUUGAAAUCUAUCAUAGUUGUAGAGCUAAAAACCAUUUGUUUGCCAAAUGCAAAAGGAAAAGCCCUUGCCCACGAUGUAAGUAUGGAUGUGAGAAAUGUUUUGCGAUGGAAAAGGAGAAUCACAAUAAGGGGAAACUAUUCCUUUGCUAUAGUCGAAAUUGUGGAUUUUGGGAGUGGGUCGUAAAAGAAAACUCAAGCGGUCAAUGUAGUAGCAAUAGCAUGACGGUCGUUAACCCCAUGAUGAAUGACACUGAUGAAGAAAUGUCCCGCAUGUUCAAAUCUUGGGUAAGGAUAAGUAAUGAAGAGGAGCUCUAGGUUUCAGUGAACGUGAGCAUCAAGAUGAAGAAAAUUGUUGCAGAUGUAGAUGGUAAAGGGAAGCGGCCAGCUUGACUUGAAGAUACUUAUCGAAGCUUUUGUCAAUGAAAAUUGAAUCAGCUUGUCCUUUAGCAUUUCUAGAGGCCGAAAGUUUUGUAUGUGAUGAAUUAAGUCAAGUAGUUGAGCUUUGUGGUACGAGGUUGUAGAUCAUGAUAGCUUCGUAACAAAACAAGCUUCUUUUGUAGACAUUCUGAUUAUGCUAAUUACGUGCACUUUAUGCUAAUUUAUCGUUUAUUUAUUCCAAGUUGACAAGCUUAAGUGAAGCAAAUAUUGCUACAAACACAUGAGAACUGCCAGUAGCAUCCAAAAUUCAAUCAGAUGGGAGACCAAUUGUAAUAUCCUAC
rnacentral:lncRNA from 1 species